AUGCGCUCUGUCGGCUCUGUCAAAUCGAACAUCAGCAAUGUUUGAAUAUUUAUUAUUGAAGGAGCAUUUCUGGCUCUUAAAUUCCCUAAUUACGGCCAUAAAUAGCCGAAACUUGCACCUUCAGUCUGGAAACCAGGAAAAAAGAAACAAAUUUGUGCACUGGUUUUGGUUGUUUCACUGGGUAAAAAUCCAGAAUGCUUCGCGACAAGAAAUCUUUUUUCAGGUUGUUUCACUGGGUAAAAAUCCAGAAUGCUUCGCGACAAGAACUCUUCCGGCACCCUUUGGCCCUGACGGCUGACGAUUACGAUUCCUGAAACUCAUCCCGAAAGAUUGCUACAGAAGUGGUACUAUGGAACCGUUUUAGCUGGUCUAUUUCAAAAAGGUUAAUCCUUGCAAGCAUAUGACCGUCGGUUGGAUCGGAAACGGGACGGUCUACAAUACGCAGCUGGCUGACUAAAAAAACCAGCCGGUGGGGCGAGUACGUCAAGAUGGAAUAAACCAGAAGCAAACAAGUUCUGGUCAGAUUGCUCAGAACGAAAAUAAAGGAAUGUACAAAGAAGAACAUAGUUUUUGAAAAUUCAUUUUUGUAUGUGCUUCUCGAAGUAUGAAGUGUGAAACUAAUAAAACUGUAUGAAAAAGGCAA